GAUGAAGAACGUAGCGAAAUGCGAUAAGUAGUGUGAAUUGCAGAAUUCAGUGAAUCAUCGAAUCUUUGAACGCACAUUGCGCCCCUCGGUAUUCCGUGGGGCAUGCCUGUUCGAGCGUCAUUAACCCCUCAAGCCUAGCUUGGUAUUGGGUGCUUGUCCCGCCUCUCGCGCGGCGACUCACCUCAAAGUCAUUGGCAGCCCGCAUCUCGCCGGCCGUGAGCGCAGCACAGACGCGCUCUUGGCAACGACGGAUCGGCUCUCCAAAAGCUUAUUUCAACCACUGACCUCGGAUCAGGUAGGGAUACCCGCUGAACUUAAGCAUAUCAAUAAGCGGAGGA
rnacentral:misc_RNA from 1 species